AGUGAACGCUGGCGGUAGGCCUAACACAUGCAAGUCGAACGGCAGCACAGUAAGAGCUUGCUCUUACGGGUGGCGAGUGGCGGACGGGUGAGGAGUACAUCGGAAUCUACUUUUUCGUGGGGGAUAACGUAGGGAAACUUACGCUAAUAUCGCAUACGACCUACGGGUGAAAGCAUGGGAUCUUCGGACCUUGCGCGAUUGAAUGAGCCGGUGUCGGAUUAGCUAGUUGGCGGGGUAAAGGCCCACCAAGGCGACGAUCCGUAGCUGGUCUGAGAGGAUGAGCAGCCACACUGGAACUGAGACACGGUCCAGACUCCUACGGGAGGCAGCAGUGGGGAAUAUUGGACAAUGGGCGCAAGCCUGAUCCAGCCAUACCGCGUGGGUGAAGAAGGCCUUCGGGUUGUAAAGCCCUUUUGUUGGGAAAGAAAAGCAGCAGGUUAAUACCCCGCUGUUCUGACGGUACCCAAAGAAUAAGCACCGGCUAACUUCGUG
rnacentral:rRNA from 1 species